rnacentral:rRNA from 1 species
GCAUAUCAAUAAGCGGAGGAAAAGAAACUAACAAGGAUUCCCCUAGUAACUGCGAGUGAAGCGGGAUGAGCUCAAAUUUAAAAUCUGGCGGUCUCUGGCCGUCCGAGUUGUAUUCUGGAGAAGUGCUUUCCGCGCUGGACCGUGUAUAAGUCUCUUGGAACAGAGCGUCAUAGAGGGUGAGAAUCCCGUCUUUGACACGGACUACCAGUGCUUUGUGAUGCGCUCUCAAAGAGUCGAGUUGUUUGGGAAUGCAGCUCAAAAUGGGUGGUAAAUUCCAUCUAAAGCUAAAUAUUGGCGAGAGACCGAUAGCGAACAAGUACCGUGAGGGAAAGAUGAAAAGCACUUUGGAAAGAGAGUUAAACAGUACGUGAAAUUGUUGAAAGGGAAACGCUUGAAGUCAGUCGCGUUGGCCGGGACUCAGCCUUGCCUUCCGCUUGGUGUAUUUUCCGGUCGACGGGCCAACAUCGAUUUCGAUUGCUGGACAAGGGCUAGCGGAAUGUGGCACCUUCGGGUGUGUUAUAGCCGCUGGUCGUAUACAGUAGUUGGGAUCGAGGACCGCAGCUUCGGCUUAGGAUGUUGGCAUAAUGGCUUUAAACGACCCGUCUUGAACACGGACC